rnacentral:lncRNA from 1 species
CCACUUUUCGUUUAAUCAAAUCGUUUACGAUUGGAUAAGAGCACUUGCUCCCUCUAAAAUACAAUAUGCCCAACUGAAACGUUGUUAGGACGGCUCUAAUUUGUUCAGAAACAGAUUGACAGAGAAGCAUGCUCAAUCAGGUUGUGGACAUACACAUUGGACCACAAUGCUUCCUCAUGAACUCAUGCCAAGAAGGAUAUCCACGUGAGUGCCAUGUGGGAAUGUUGUGUGUGGCCCACAUGGUCUAGUAUUGGCCACAAAUCUGAUAUUGUGGAAGAAGAAGAAGGGAGGUGGUUGGUGGUGGUGGGUUGUAAAAGUUGGUCCAUUCAUAGAGUGGCGCCAAAUGAAGUGGAGCUCAAGGUCCACAAUCUAAUCCUCAAUAGGGUUUGUUUCUGGCCAAAAGACUCAAUUUGUGGAUGACAAGCGGUUCGCAUUUUUUUCAUUUUCUAGAAUCUAAACACACUUCAAUAAUUUAAAGAUUGUCCUGAGUUUAUAUGCUUAAAAUGGUUGAUGCCCAAAAAAGGGAUUAGUGAUCUUUGGACUUUGUUUGUACAAUUUGCGUGAUGUAAGAUCAAGAGAUGUCAGCCAAUGAUUUGAUGAUAAAGUUAAUUAGAUGCAAAGUAACUAAAAGUCACUAAAAAUGUAGAAGGCAA